rnacentral:rRNA from 1 species
GACGAACGCUGGCGGCGUGCUUAACACAUGCAAGUCGAACGGAAAGGCCCCCUUGUGGGGUACUCGAGUGGUGAACGGGUGAGUAACACGUGAGUAACCUACCCUUGACUUUGGGAUGACUUCAGGAAACUGGGGCUAAUACCAGAUAGGAGCUCCUGCUGCAUGGUGGGGGUUGGAAAGUUUCGGCGGUUGGGGAUGGACUCCCGGCUUAUUAGCUUGUUGGUGGGGUAGUGGCUCACCAAGGCUUUGACGGGUAGCCGGCCUGAGAGGGUGACCGGCCACAUUGGGACUGAGAUACGGCCCAGACUCCUACGGGAGGCAGCAGUGGGGAAUAUUGCACAAUGGGCGGAAGCCUGAUGCAGCAACGCCGCGUGCGGGAUGACGGCCUUCGGGUUGUAAACCGCUUUCGCCUGUGACGAAGCGUGAGUGACGGUAAUGGGUAAAGAAGCACCGGCUAACUACGUG